UCGAUCGAUUUCGACCUGAGAUCAGACGAGAUUACCCGCUG
rnacentral:rRNA from 1 species